rnacentral:rRNA from 1 species
AUCGAACGCUGGCGGCAGGCCUAACACAUGCAAGUCGAACGAACUCUUCGGAGUUAGUGGCGGACGGGUGGGUAACACGUGGGAACGUGCCUUUAGGUUCGGAAUAACUCAGGGAAACUUGUGCUAAUACCGAAUGUGCCCUUCGGGGGAAAGAUUUAUCGCCUUUAGAGCGGCCCGCGUCUGAUUAGCUAGUUGGUGGGGUAAAGGCGCACCAAGGCGACGAUCAGUAGCUGGUCUGAGAGGAUGAUCAGCCACAUUGGGACUGAGACACGGCCCAAACUACUACGGGAGGCAGCAGUGGGGAAUCUUGCGCAAUGGGCGGAAGCCUGAAGCAGCCAUGCCGCGUGAAUGAUGAAGGUCUUAGGAUUGUAAAAUUCUUUCACCGGGGACGAUAAUGACGGUACCCGGAGAAGAAGCCCCGGCUAACUUCGUG